GACUACGGGUGGCAGCAGUGGGGAAUAUUGGACAAUGGGCGAAAGCCCGAUCCAGCCAUGCCGCGUGUGUGAAGAAGGCCUUCGGGUUGUAAAGCACUUUCAGUGGGGAAGAAAGCCUUGGGGCUAAUACCCUCGAGGAAGGACAUCACCCACAGAAGAAGCACCGGCUAACUCCGUGCCAGCAGCCGCGGUAAUACGGAGGGUGCGAGCGUUAAUCGGAAUUACUGGGCGUAAAGCGCGCGUAGGCGGUCUGAUAAGCCGGUUGUGAAAGCCCCGGGCUCAACCUGGGAACGGCAUCCGGAACUGUCAGGCUAGAGUGCAGGAGAGGAAGGUAGAAUUCCCGGUGUAGCGGUGAAAUGCGUAGAGAUCGGGAGGAAUACCAGUGGCGAAGGCGGCCUUCUGGACUGACACUGACGCUGAGGUGCGAAAGCGUGGGUAGCAAACAGGAUUAGAUACCCCAGUAGUC
rnacentral:rRNA from 1 species